rnacentral:rRNA from 1 species
ACGCACGCUGGCGGCGUGCUUAACACAUGCCAGUCGAACGGAAAGGCCCUGCUUGCAGGGUACUCGAGUGGCGAACGGGUGAGUAACACGUGGGUGAUCUGCCCUGCACUUCGGGAUAAGCCUGGGAAACUGGGUCUAAUACCGGAUAGGAGCCAUUUUUAGUGUGAUGGUUGGAAAGUUUUUUCGGUGUAGGAUGAGCUCGCGGCCUAUCAGCUUGUUGGUGGGGUAAUGGCCUACCAAGGCGGCGACGGGUAGCCGGCCUGAGAGGGUGGACGGCCACAUUGGGACUGAGAUACGGCCCAGACUCCUACGGGAGGCAGCAGUGGGGAAUAUUGCACAAUGGGCGCAAGCCUGAUGCAGCGACGCCGCGUGGGGGAUGACGGCCUUCGGGUUGUAAACUCCGUUCGCUAGGGACGAAGCUUUUUGUGACGGUACCUAGAUAAGAAGCACCGGCUAACUACGUG